AUCCAGCUGACGAGUCCCAAGUAAGACGAAAACGCGCUUUGUCCUGGAU
rnacentral:hammerhead_ribozyme from 1 species